GAUGAACGCUGGCGGCGUGCCUAAUACAUGCAAGUCGAGCGAACAGACGAGGAGCUUGCUCCUCUGACGUUAGCGGCGGACGGGUGAGUAACACGUGGAUAACCUACCUAUAAGACUGGGAUAACUUCGGGAAACCGGAGCUAAUACCGGAUAAUAUAUUGAAUCGCAUGGUUCAAUAGUGAAAGACGGUUUUGCUGUCACUUAUAGAUGGAUCCGCGCCGCAUUAGCUAGUUGGUAAGGUAACGGCUUACCAAGGCAACGAUGCGUAGCCGACCUGAGAGGGUGAUCGGCCACACUGGAACUGAGACACGGUCCAGACUCCUACGGGAGGCAGCAGUAGGGAAUCUUCCGCAAUGGGCGAAAGCUUGACGGAGCAACGCCGCGUGAGUGAUGAAGGUCUUCGGAUCGUAAAACUCUGUUAUUAGGGAAGAACAAAUGUGUAAGUAACUAUGCACGUCUUGACGGUACCUAAUCAGAAAGCCACGGCUAACUACGU
rnacentral:rRNA from 1 species